rnacentral:lncRNA from 1 species
GGAAUAUACAUUAUAUUAAUAUAUUUAUAUAUUGAUAUAUUGCACCAAACAUUAUAAGAGUUUGUUUAUAAAAUAUACUAAUAAGAAUAAUUAAAUAAUAUAUGUUAAAUGAGUAUGUAUAUAUAUAUAUAUAUAGUUUAAAUUUUUCAUUGGUUUUUAUUUUUGUAUGGUAAUCUCAAUUAAGUUUUUAUUUUUGUAACGGUCUGAAUUUGAUCAUAUUUUUUUGUAAAAAUGAGUCAAUUUUAUCCUGUCUGUUAAAUGCUCUCAGAUGAGUUAAUUGAUGCUGAUGUGUUAAUGUCGAUGUUCAUUGUGAGAUGGCAAAAUUAAAGCUCUCAAACUUCCAAAGCCCUUUACACGAACACUAAUCCUUUCUCUUUCCUCUUCCCAACAGAUUCCAACACUGCCAUUGACACGCUCUUCCACCUUGAAGGCAAGUCCCAUGUCGUCUUCUCCUCCAACCCUAACCCCCGCAACCUCUCUCACAUCCUCUCCUCCCUC